rnacentral:sRNA from 1 species
AUUUCUCUAUCGUAAUGUACAAAAAAAAGGAAAAAAAUUUUGUAUGAAACCUUGAAAGCAGU